rnacentral:rRNA from 1 species
UACGGGGGGGGCAAGCGUUGUUCGGAAUUACUGGGCGUAAAGCGCACGUAGGCGGAUCGCUAAGUCAGGGGUGAAAUCCUGGAGCUCAACUCCAGAACUGCCUUUGAUACUGGCAAUCUCGAGUCCGGGAGAGGUGAGUGGAACUGCGAGUGUAGAGGUGAAAUUCGUAGAUAUUCGCAAGAACACCAGUGGCGAAGGCGGCUCACUGGCCCGGUACUGACGCUGAGGUGCGAAGCGUGGGAGCAACAGG